UGGACGCUCUCGGGUAACUGUACACGACUCGGGACUAUUGUACGUCAAGCGGAAAAAAGAUGAGGCAUGGUUGGUUCUCAAAAGACAUUGCCCAACACUCGGGUUUGGGCCUCUUUUCGAUGCCAAGCGGCCCAUAGGCGGCAGUCACCAGCAUCACCGACGACGAUGACGACGACAAUGCCCAGGAUGAUGUCCUCCAUUUUGCCACUCAAGGUUUCUACAUAGGCUCCGUGGUCGGCCAUAUCGCCAACGUCCCACCGCUGCCUCGACCCGCCAUGCGCAAUUUCUACGCGGGCGUGGCACAAUCACGGCCCAGGGACAAUGUCCUCUGCAUAAACGGGCACCGCCAGUAUGUUUAAUUUUGGCACAUUGCUGUUCCCACCGACUGGACAUGCGCUGGCGGUCCGCCCUCAGCCGCGUGAGGGCGCAUCUUUUAAAGACGACGAAUAAAGCAUACGAAAGACGUUAAAAAAUAAAAUCGUUU
rnacentral:lncRNA from 1 species